rnacentral:rRNA from 1 species
UACGUAGGGCGCAAGCGUUGUCCGGAAUUAUUGGGCGUAAAGAGCUCGUAGGCGGCCUGUUGCGUCCGCUGUGAAAUCCCGGGGCUCAACCCCGGGCCUGCAGUGGAUACGGGCUGGCUAGAGGCAGGCAGGGGAGAACGGAAUUCCUGGUGUAGCGGUGAAAUGCGCAGAUAUCAGGAGGAACACCGGUGGCGAAGGCAGAUCUCUGGGCCGUAACUGACGCUGAGGAGCGAAAGCAUGGGGAGCGAACAGG